rnacentral:rRNA from 1 species
UACAGAGAGUGCGAACGUUGUUCGGAAUUACUGGGCUUAAAGCGCACGUAGGCGGCAUCGUAAGUGUCUGGUGAAAUCCCACGGCUCACCCGUGGAACUGCCAGGCAUACUGUGAUGCUCGAGUGUGGUAGGGGAGAGCGGAACUCCUGGUGGAGCGGUGAAAUGCGUAGAUAUCAGGAGGAACACCGGUGGCGAAGGCGGUUCUCUGGGCAUGAUCUGACGCUGAGGAGCGAAAGUGUGGGGAGCGAACAGG